GAGAACCCAGAGCCUGAUAUGAGAGUGCAAUCCAGGCAGACACCUUGAGGUCUUUAGCAGAAGACUGAGCUAACCUGUACCCAGAUUCAUGACCAAACAGAAACUACACGCCAGGUGAUAAAAGGAUGGAAUGCUUUAACACUCCUCCCCACUUGCCAUAGUCCUCCUGAUUUGAUUCUGGUUUUGCUCCUUCGGACUUAAAUGAUCUUUCUGGGAACAAAGGCACUGCCACAAGGAGUCCAAGUGUUUGCUCUUUGCCAACAUUCCCCCAAAUCUACAGACAUUUUGAGAAAGAAUGCCUACACCUCUUAUUCAGAAAGUAAAAAGGAGAUCGGCUAAGCUUUGAAAGGUGAGGAACUCAAGGCCUGGAGAGUUUAAAUACUUUGCAGAAACUCCCACAGCUUUUAGGCUACCAAGGGAAGAUUCAAAUCCACAUGGGUUGAUUCUAAACCUGAAGUUCAAAAAUAAAUA